rnacentral:rRNA from 1 species
GAGACUCUGUGCGCGUGCAUAUCAAUAAGCGGAGGAAAAGAAACUAACUAGGAUUCCCUCAGUAACGGCGAGUGAAGCGGGAAGAGCUCAAAUUUGAAAUCUUCAAGGUUCUACCUUGACGAAUUGUAGUUUGUAGAAGUGUUUUCUGUUAGUGGAGUGGCAAAAGUUCUUUGGAAUAGGACAUCAUAGAGGGUGAGAAUCCCGUAUUUGGUCAUUCCUCCUAGCGUUGUGAUACACUUUCAACGAGUCGGAUUGUUUGGGAAUGCAGUCCAAAAUGGGUGGUAAAUUUCAUCUAAAGCUAAAUAUUGGCGAGAGACCGAUAGCGAACGAGUACCGUGAGGGAAAGAUGAAAAGAACUUUGAAAAGAGAGUUAAACAGUACGUGAAAUUGUCAAAAGGGAAGCGUUUGACACCAGUGUUGUUUAGUUGAAAAUCAAUUCAAUAGUUUUUGAUUCUAAGUAGUAUUGACUUCAUCAGCUUGCUGCUUUCUUCUCAGAAAUUAUUGAAUGCACUUUUCAGUUAACAAGUCAACAUCAAUUUCUUUUGUUGUAAAAGGGUAAGAGGAAGGUGGCUUGCGCUUCGGCUCAAGUGUUUAUAGCCUUUUAUCUCUGCAAUCGGAGAGAUUGAGGUCUGCAGCGUAGAUCCUUCGGGGUUAGAUACAUUGGUGCUAAGCUAUAGCCUUGUAUAGACAACUUGUUGACUAUGCUCAGUCAUGUAGCUUACUCGCUGAUGCUAUUUUACCUACGCUUAGGAUGUUGAAGAUGUAGCACAUCAU